GACCCGCUAGCUCAGUCGGCAGAGCACCUGCCUUUUAAGCAGGGUGUCCGGAGUUCGAAUCUCCGGCGGGUCA
rnacentral:tRNA from 1 species